UACGUAGGGGGCAAGCGUUGUCCGGAUUUAUUGGGCGUAAAGAGCGUGUAGGCGGCCAAGCAGGUCCGCUGUGAAAACUCGAGGCUCAACCUCGAGACGUCGGUGGAAACCGUUUGGCUAGAGUCCGGAAGAGGAGAGUGGAAUUCCCGGUGUAGCGGUGAAAUGCGUAGAGAUCCGGAAGAACACCGGUGGCGAAGGCGGUCUGCUGGGCAGUAGCUGACACUGAGGCGCGACAGCGUGGGGAGCAAACAGG
rnacentral:rRNA from 1 species